UACAGAGGUCUCAAGCGUUGUUCGGAUUCAUUGGGCGUAAAGGGUGCGUAGGUGGCGCCGUAAGUCGGGUGUCGAAAUUCGGAGCUUAACUCCGAAACUGCAUUCGAUACUGCGGUGCUUGAGGACUGGAGAGGAGACUGGAAUUCAUGGUGUAGCAGUGAAAUGCGUAGAGAUCAUGAGGAAGACCAGUGGCGAAGGCGGGUCUCUGGACAGUUCCUGACACUGAGGCACGAAGGCCAGGGGAGCAAACGGG
rnacentral:rRNA from 1 species